rnacentral:rRNA from 1 species
AUUGAACGCUGGCGGCAGGCCUAACACGUGCAAGUCGAGCGGUUGACGGGAGCUUGCUCCCUGAUUCAGCGGCGGACGGGUGAGUAAUGCCUAGGAAUCUGCCUAUUAGUGGGGGACAACGUUUCGAAAGGAACGCUAAUACCGCAUACGUCCUACGGGAGAAAGCAGGGGACCUUCGGGCCUCGCGCUAAUAGAUGAGCCUAGGUCGGAUUAGCUUGUUGGUGAGGUAAUGGCUCACCAAGGCGACGAUCCGUAACUGGUCUGAGAGGAUGAUAGGGCACAAUGGAAGUGAGACACGGGCCAGGCGACUAAGGGAGGCAGCAGUGGGGAAUAUUGGACAAUGGGCGAAAGCCCUAUCCAGCCAUGCCGCGUGUGUGAAGAAGGUCUUCGGAUUGUAAAGCACUUUAAGUUGGGAUGAAGGGUUGUAGAUUAAUACUCUGCAAUUUUGACGUUACCGACAGAAUAAGCACCGGCUAACUCUGUGCCAGCCGCCGCGGUAA